GAUCACCAGCGAGAUUUUCGUUUCUUUAUUAGAUUUCUACAGAUGAAACCGAUCAGCACAUUUGACAUGAAGAAUGCUCAAGGCUCCGCCAAACAUCGUCUGGUGUGGACUAACAUUCCAUAACUGAAUUUCAAUCCGCAAUUGGACGAGCAAGUCAUCAACAACGACCAUUCAGUUCGUCCAUUUCUUGUCUUCCACUCAGCCGAGAGCCAUUUUUCAUCAAAUAUCCUUGGAUUCUUGAAUAUAUCGUGGCCAUAAACCAAUAACCCCUGCCAGCCAACUGGCAGGAGAAACACGACCGCGGAUGCUUUUCCAGCGCGAUACCCGAAGCAAGACGAAAACAAUUAAAGUUCCAGCCCAUUUGGAGCAUUACUCGGUCGUCCAGCUGACCCAGAAAACGGCCAAGAAGAAGAAGAAAUUUAACAGCGAUCUCCGCUCGAGUUGGAAACUUUGCGAAGCCGUCGGCAGUGCUGACAAGGACAGCGACGGAAUAAGUGACGAACAGGCUACAUCGCGGGUCUGACGGAAGAUCACGCCGCAUUUUGAAGAAGCUGCAGUAUGCAAGAACGAUUGACGAAUCGAAGUUUACCAGUUUACGUUGUGGAGUUGUGGAUUCACAUUUUUCAACUUUUGUUGAAGAUUUGAAGUUGGCCCGUGUCGUUGGCCCGAAAUAAGCCACGGAUUUUUAUUUACUCUUCCUUCUUACGUACGUUUCUCACCUUAUUUUGUUUUGUAAACAAGAUUGUAAACUAAAAAUAAAAAAAAUCGUGACUGUUCUCAGAUCAAAGAAUAAAAUUAGUUGGUGGAAAAUUUGGAAUUUUUUUUUACAAUUGUGAGCGAUUUACUUGGAAGAAUUUAGUUAAUAAUCUGAAUCGAUUCCAAUAUCGAUGUCACCAUAGCCCCCUCCAUAAUCACAGUAGCCUCCACCAUAGUCACUAUAGCCCCCACCGUAAUCGCCGUAGUAUCCUCCGCCGUAGUCACCGUAACCAUAUGAUCCGAAUCCGCCAUAAUAUACGGAUAUCCGAAGAUGCCUCCGAAGUUAUAAUGAUACGCGCGUCUCACGUACGGUAAGUGGUAUAGGGAAGGCGAAAGGUAAGGAAGAAGAAAUCCUCGACUGAUUGGAUGGCGCAGGGUUUGGUGGAACUGGAGUGGCGCCGACUCUAGCAAUUCAGAUUUAGCUUCUCCGAUUAAUUCCGAUAUAUUAUAUUCCGAUUAAUUACUUGUCUGACGCAUCUUUUCCCACAUUUUCGGGACAAGGAAAAUUUUCUGUGUGAGGUUCGUCGGGUUGUCCAGGCUGAUGAGCUAUUUUCACGUCAAUUUUGAAUCCGUUUUUCUGCUUUGAGGUGAAACCAGUGUGUCUCGAUUGGUCGUCAAGUCUUCCAGAUUCUGUUGGUCCUUUCCUUUUCAACCGAUCGGCCCAAAACACGACAGCGCAAAAAAGUGCCAUCAAAUGAACAAAUACACACAAGUUAUCUGCAAUUAAAUCAACUAUUCAAGAUUGUAAAGCAAGUAUUGUAGCAUAGCAAGUAUUAUAAGCAAGUCCUCUUAUGCAGUAGCCUAUAUAGUAGUAUAUACGCUGCAGCACAUUACUGAUAAAUUGUUCACAUUUUUAUU